rnacentral:tRNA from 1 species
GCUAAGGUGGCAGAGCCCGGUAAUUGCGAAAGGCCUAAGCCCUUUUUCUCAGAGGUUCAAACCCUCUCCUUAGCUAUGAUCA